UGGGGAAUUUUGGACAAUGGGCGAAAGCCUGAUCCAGCAAUGCCGCGUGUGUGAAGAAGGCCUUCGGGUUGUAAAGCACUUUUGUCCGGAAAGAAAUCCUUGGCUCUAAUACAGUCGGGGGAUGACGGUACCGGAAGAAUAAGCACCGGCUAACUACGUGCCAGCAGCCGCGGUAAUACGUAGGGUGCAAGCGUUAAUCGGAAUUACUGGGCGUAAAGCGUGCGCAGGCGGUUUGCUAAGACCGAUGUGAAAUCCCCGGGCUCAACCUGGGAACUGCAUUGGUGACUGGCAGGCUAGAGUAUGGCAGAGGGGGGUAGAAUUCCACGUGUAGCAGUGAAAUGCGUAGAGAUGUGGAGGAAUACCGAUGGCGAAGGCAGCCCCCUGGGCCAAUACUGACGCUCAUGCACGAAAGCGUGGGGAGCAAACAGGAUUAGAUACCCUGGUAGUCCACGCCCUAAACGAUGUCAACUAGUUGUUGGGGAUUCAUUUCCUUAGUAACGUAGCUAACGCGUGAAGUUGACCGCCUGGGGAGUACGGUCGCAAGAUUAAAACUUAAAUGAAUUGACGGGGUCAUA
rnacentral:rRNA from 1 species